rnacentral:rRNA from 1 species
UACGUAGGGGGCAAGCGUUGUCCGGAUUUAUUGGGCGUAAAGAGCGUGUAGGCGGCUUCACAGGUCCGCUGUGAAAACUCGAGGCUCAACCUCGAGAUGUCGGUGGAAACCGUGUGGCUAGAGUCCGGAAGAGGAGAGUGGAAUUCCCGGUGUAGCGGUGAAAUGCACAGAUAUCGGGAAGAACACCCGUGGCGAAGGCGGCUCUCUGGGACGGUACUGACGCUGAGACGCGAAAGCGUGGGGAGCGAACAGG